UACGUAGGUGGCAAGCGUUGUCCGGAUCUAUUGGGCGUAAAGCGAGCGCAGGUGGUUUCUUAAGUCUGAUGUGAAAGCCCACGGCUCAACCGUGGAAGGUCAUUGGAAACUGGGGAACUUGAAUGCAGAAGAGGAGAGUGGAAUUCCAUGUGUAGCGGUGAAAUGCGUAGAUAUAUGGAGGAACACCAGUGGCGAAGGCGACUCUCUGGUCUGUUAUUGACACUGAGGCUCGAAAGCGUGGGGAGCAAACAGGAUUA
rnacentral:rRNA from 1 species